rnacentral:rRNA from 1 species
UACGUAGGGCGCAAGCGUUGUCCGGAAUUAUUGGGCGUAAAGAGCUCGUAGGCGGUUUGUCGCGUUGUUCGUGAAAACCGGGGGCUUAACCCUCGGCGUGCGGGCGAUACGGGCAGACUGGAGUACUGCAGGGGAGACUGGAAUUCCUGGUGUAGCGGUGGAAUGCGCAGAUAUCAGGAGGAACACCGGUGGCGAAGGCGGGUCUCUGGGCAGUAACUGACGCUGAGGAGCGAAAGCGUGGGGAGCGAACAGG